rnacentral:lncRNA from 1 species
AAGAUUCCUCGCCUAAGAUGAGGUUCCUGAGCUUCCAGUAGGCGACUGACUGCCCAAGAGACCCAGGGCUCCGCAAGGAGACGGCGCAGGUGUCGGGGCUCCCCGCAGGCCGGGAAAAAGUGUCCGAACGCCUCGUGGACUGCAGCGGGGGAAAUGUCCCUUAAAAGUGCGACGAAGUGGGGAAGAAGGUGUAAUUACUAUUAUCAGCAUCUAGAAAGCAUCAUGAAUUUGCUGGAGUACUUCCUAGCACUGACCUCCUUCAUUCUGCGUUGUUCUUACUGGAUCUUUCCAUCAGCCAACAAUAUGGAAGUACCAAUACAAGGUCAAAUCAUUCCUGGAUUCAUCUGGAGUUGCUUAAAAGUUAAAUCAUUGGAAUUUUUGAUGAUACCUUUUCUAUAUGGAUUACAAUUUGAUCGCUGGGAAUUCUCCACCUUAAAGAAGACGCAAUUUCACCAUGUUACCCAGGCUGGUCUGGCACUCCUUGGCUCAAGCAAUAGCAGUCUGCCUGCUGCAGCUCUCCAAGUGCUGGGAUUACAGUUACAGGGCUUGACGUUUCUAGGACUAACCAAGGAAGAUGCAGUUGGUUGUGAAUCACUUCUUCCCAUGCUGAAAUGGCAAGUUUAUGACACUAAAGAUGCAGUCCAACAGAGUAGUCACUGUGCUCAGCAUCAGUAUUUUUUUUUGCCUCCAUCAUCUUGCUGAAACAGCAUUGGUGUAAUAAAAAUGAACCUC